rnacentral:rRNA from 1 species
AACGAACGCUGGCGGCAUGCCUAACACAUGCAAGUCGAACGAGACCUUCGGGUCUAGUGGCGCACGGGUGCGUAACGCGUGGGAACCUGCCCUUAGGUUCGGAAUAACUCCCCGAAAGGGGUGCUAAUACCGGAUAAUGUCUUCGGACCAAAGAUUUAUCGCCUUUGGAUGGGCCCGCGUUGGAUUAGCUUGUUGGUAGGGUAAAAGCCUACCAAGGCGACGAUCCAUAGCUGGUCUGAGAGGAUGAUCAGCCACACUGGGACUGAGACACGGCCCAGACUCCGACGGGAGGCAGCAGUGGGGAAUAUUGGACAAUGGGCGAAAGCCUGAUCCAGCAAUGCCGCGUGAGUGAUGAAGGCCUUAGGGUUGUAAAGCUCUUUUACCCGGGAUGAUAAUGACAGUACCGGGAGAAUAAGCUCCGGCUAACUCCGU